rnacentral:rRNA from 1 species
AUGCACGCUGGCGGCGUGCCUAAUACCUGCCAGUCGAGCGAACAGACGAGGAGCUUGCUCCUCUGACGUUAGCGGCGGCCGGGUGAGUAACACGUGGAUAACCUACCUAUAAGACUGGGAUAACUUCGGGAAACCGGAGCUAAUACCGGAUAAUAUAUUGAACCGCAUGGUUCAAUAGUGAAAGACGGUUUUGCUGUCACUUAUAGAUGGAUCCGCGCCGCGCUAGCUAGUUGGUAAGGUAACGGCUUACCAAGGCAACGAUGCGUAGCCGACCUGAGAGGGGGAUAGGCCACCCUGGAGCUGAGCCACGGUCCAGGCUCCUACGAGAGGCAGCAGUAGCGAAUCUUCCGCAAUGGGCGAAAGCCUGACGGAGCAGCGCCGCGUGAGUGAUGAAGGUCUUCGGAUCGUAAAGCUCUGUUAUUAGGGAAGAACCGAUGUGUAAGUAACUAUGCACGUCUUGACGGUACCUAGUCAGAAAGCCACGGCUAACUACGUG